rnacentral:lncRNA from 1 species
GAUGCAUAUACUAAUUAUUCUUUAGUUGAAUUCAUGGUUCACUGUUUUCAAUUGUUUCUCUCAUUAGGAAUAAUUAUUUAUCUAUUUAGGUUUUCUUGCUUAUCACUUUUACAUUUAGUUUACUAGGUUACUUGUUAUUUUUCUUCGUAAUUGUUAUGAUUUAUUUUUGUUUUUAAUUUUUGCUCCAUGCUAGUCUUAUUACAUGAAUUAUGCAUGCUUAGGUAUUCCUAUGUGCUG